rnacentral:rRNA from 1 species
CANCGGCGGCCCGAGUGGUAACCGCUAUUAUUGGGUCUAAAGGGUCUGUAGCCGGCCAGGUAAGUCCCUUGGGAAAUCUGGCAGCUCAACUGUCAGGCUGCUAGGGGAUACUGUUUGGCUUGGGACCGGGAGAGGUGAGAGGUACCUUGGGGGUAGGGGUGAAAUCUUGUGAUCCUCGAGGGACCACCAGUGGCGAAGGCGUCUCACCAGAACGGGUCCGACGGUAAGGGACGAAAGCUAGGGGCACGAACCGG